rnacentral:lncRNA from 1 species
CUACAGCAAGCUCACAGAAACAGGAAAUAUUUCGAAGACUACGACGGAAACAGAAGUGAACCAUUGAGCAGAUAUGUGCGGGGAUUUAUGAGCUUGGAUGAGAAAUAGCAAGCGGAUACUAAAUGGAUCGCUAUUAAGCACAGCAAGAGUUCACAGAUGCAUUCAAGAUCAGAGAACAGCCAUGAACGCGCAAUGAACAUAGCAAGAACAUGGAACCCUAAGAACAAAUCUAGGUUAAGAAGGAGAGAGAACUUACCGGGAACAGAGAAGAUGCGGAAAGACGCGGCAACACUCUGGUACGUUCAGGUUGAUGCAGCGGCCCGAGACGAGGCAGAGGUCGACGGUGGUGGCGGAGCUCCAAAGCCGGCGACGUGAGGAAGAAGAAGAAGAAGGGACGAAGGGAAGAAAAAGGAAAUGACCCUUCGGUCUUAUUUAUAAGGCAACCGAGCUAGGUCAAACGCGCGAAUCCAGGAGCUGUCAUUAAGAGGGCGUUAUGAAUUUCACAAUGACGUCAUGCCGGUUUACAGUAACCAAAACUAAUGACGUCAUGCCGAUUUACAUCAACCAAAAAUGAUGACGACAUGGAGAUUCACCAAUUAACAGAAGAUAUCCAAGACGCAAGAUGGUGUGAAGGAUUGACAUGAACCAGUUCAAAUCAAUCUGGGGCCUAAUGUUGGGGAUAUUACCACUAGGCGUAAACCGGCCUACUUGGGCCGGGUUAACUUCCUUGGUGGCGUAAACAGAUGAAGGCCCAAGGCCUGUAGUCGGUUAGAACAUGUAGCCGUGAACCGGCCUGAUGUAUGACUUGUAUUGUAAGUAAGGAAUAGAGAGAUACCAACCGGAAUACGAGUAUGAACCGGUUAGGACUCUAUGGACCGACGGGCGUCACCCGUGUAUAUAAGGGGACGACCCGAUGGCGGUUCAAGAUACACAACCAUAACUCGAGCCUAGGCGAAGCUUGUUUUCUCCCUAGCCAUCGAGACCAUAUCAAUUCCAUCGCAACUAGACGUAGGCUUUACCUUCAUCAAAGGGGCCGAACUAGUAUAAAACCCUCGUGUCUUUGUGUACGCUUUAACCCCUUCAAGUAAACCCGUGGCGAUGGCUCCACGACUAAGUCCUUCCGCUAGGACAUCUGCCGUGACAAAUCCACGACAGUACGUGAGCAUCUCCACUUCCCCACACCACCUCGGCAAAUGCCCGACUUGACAACUACAUGUUGCAUGCAGAAAGGCCAUCAUUGCCUGGGACGUGAGAGGACCACGGUUAGCCUUCCUUCGGCUAUAAAUGGGGGAGGGGCGGAGCCCCCAGCCCCAUCUUCAUCUUCUCGCCCCUGCCUCUCCUUCUUCUUUGUCCCGUCAUCUCGCUAGAGCGUCCAUGGCGCCAGUGAGGAGGUUCUCCGCCGCGGAGAAGAGAAAGGCCCCUCAGGUGGAACCUGAGCUGCUGCCACCAAAGAAGAGGCAUGAUUGCUCUCGUGAUGCCACCGCCGCGCCCAUGGCGGUACAACCUUGGCACGAAUGCACUCCCCCGGGAUUCCCGGUCCACACGUAUGUUCGCGUAUAGAGCAAUGUCCACGAGAGCGGCGGCAAACAUCGCGAGGAGCGAAGCCGUGGGGGAGGACAAGCGGCGGUUAUACGGCCACCCAGCCCGCGGACCCAUGCCGAAGGCAUGGCCCGCAAGUUUGUGGUGUAGGAGGUAAUGCCGCCACACACAUGGAUCUGACUCCUGCGGUCUCUGGUGAGGGAGAUACCGCCACGGGGGCCCGUCGAGCUGCGGCUGCAACACAACAGCUGCUGCAGCCAAGCGUCAGAGGCGGAGCUCGAGAUCGUCUACCGGUGACAUCUUCAUGACCCGGGGAUGGGGUGCGAUCGAUCGUGCCUGUAACUCGGAGGGGAAGCAUGCCAUCCACUUCGAGUACAAUGGGGCUUCGACGCUCCUCUUCAAGGUUUUCGGAGAGGAUGGUCGAUGCCAAGAAUGCUGCUCCAGGGGGCAUCCAAUGCAGUGGCUCCCCUGCGGAUCGACCAGGCAGCGAGGCCACCGUCGAUGAGGUUGCCCUUGGCCUUGUCUGUGAUUCCUAUGACAGCAGCAGCGCUCCAUCCGGACCAGGCUCGAGUGACGAAGACAAUUACGAGCUGCAACGUCACCGCGCCCGGGCCUAGGGGAGGAGUAGCACCAUCCCGACGUUGCCGGUGAUGCUGUCCAGGCCAUGGUUCUUUAGGGGGAUUUUCCUUUUGCUUCAUUCUUGCGCGAAAAUCAUGACGGGCCCCAAGGGGGUAUGUAAAAACUGUGGUAUUUGCACUUCAAUAUUAUCACUUCUGACUCGAUGUCGCGUGCGCAUCUCUCGUCAUGGCAUGGUCCCCCCCUUUCAUUCCUGCGGUAGCUUAGUGCUCUACGCCGGCAGGACCCAGUCCCCAGGCAAGCUUCAGCCGUUGUUGGUAUGCCAGGUCGCGAUGCAGUGGUUAAGGCCAAGAGGUGAGCGACCCGAGCUCCGGUAAGAGCCCCCGAGGCGCGAUGCUCAAGAGGUCCCCCUUAGCAUGCAAGCGUCUCCUGAAGGACUGAAAGGGAAGUUCCCUUGCCCUAGCGAGAUCACAAAGGACGGAGCACUGGUCAUGAGGUCCACACCUACGCGCGCGAGGUGACUUAUCUUGACGAGCCCGCGGUGGUCCCUUUGCUACGUGAAUGAGCUUCUCGCGCGACGUUAGGCCAUGCCCUUCUCCUGAUGACGUCCGUUCUGUGGGGCUCUUGCCGACUCCAUCUCCCGUGCUUGCCUGGGUGCUCUACGUCCUCGGGAUCCGGCUCUCGAGCGAGGCUCAGUCGCCGCUGGUAUGCCAGGUCGUGAUGCCGUGGUCAAGGCCAGGGGGUGAGGGCCUAAGAGCCAGUAAGAGCCCCUAAGGCGCGAUGCUCAGGGCUCCCCUUUAACGUGCAAGCGAUUCGCAUGAGAAAAGAGUGGCUGGCUGCAAUGGGGUGCCCAGGGGGAUUACGCUCCUUAGCAUGUUGCAUAGCGUUCUUCCAAAGUUGGAGGUGUUGGCAAGGCCGCUGGUGGUCCUGCGAGUUAGCCAAAAACAUAACAGACAGUCGCGCUCGCUAUCCUACCGUUGAUCUUUCCGCAAGAAGACUAAGGCACUAAGGACCCUGUGAGGUGACGUGUGCGGGGCCGGCCGCGAGCCAGAUCUUGGUCUCUUAGGUUUAUCAUCGUUGCAGGAACGGACCCAAGCACAAGAGCCAUGCUAGUAGUGUGGCCCCCGUUGCGGGAUGAGCAAGAGGCAGGUUAGCAACGUGCGAGGGCCGCGAGGGGCAGCUCCAUAGAUAACAAGACGACAGGUGAUAAUAUAAAGCAACUCAUGAAAGGGUGAGGCCAGUUCUAAUACAUGCGCAAAACGAUACAUGCUGCAGGGCGGACCCAUACAGCUUGAGGAUAAUGCAACCCGAGGGGUGCCCUCAACUGAGCAAACCAAAAAGUCAUUGAUAAGCACAUUUCAUAUUCAUAAUUUGUCACACAAAUACACCAUUUGUUAUGAUCUGACCAUCAAUUCUAGCUAUGAAUUAUUGUGUAUUUGGUUGAAAACCAUUUAAAAAGAUCAUUUACUCGUCACUUGUUUAUUUUGCAGAAAAGUGUGCAAAGGCACUAUAAUCAUCAAGAUUCUGACUAUAUGGCUAACCAAAAGAGAGAAGGGCAUGAAAGAAACACGUCAAGGACUUCAGUGAGAAGAAAAGAAGUAUCCAGGGGAGCAAACUAAAAGAAGAAGGGGAUCUUCUUGGGAAGAAAUGAAUAGAAGACGAUGGCCAAAUCAUAAAAGUGGCAGAUCAGAUGGGGAUCAAAAUCCCUAGACUCAUCCAUUCCCAAACCAGGCCUGGCACACAUCUCUCCCCAUCGCCCCUACUUCUUCCACCUCCGGCCACCGCCGCGGCCAGGCCGACAUGGCGGUGUGCCACCCAGCCAUCCAUCAGCACGCCACCAACAUCAGCGCCUCCAUUCACUAGCUUCUUUAUCUUCAACCUGCUGCUACUCGCCCACAACUCUCUCUGCUGCUUCUCUCUAUCUGAAUCCCUGCUGCUGUCCUUCUUCUCCUUCACCUGCUGCUGCUCCCUCUCCCACAUCUUUGCUGCUUCUUCUCUCAGCCUCCUGCUGCUGCUCUUUUCUUCCCAAAACUGCUGCUGUUAUUCUUCUUCUCCUCUCUCUUGUUGCACUUCUUCUCUGAACCUCAAGCACACUCUGCUGCUAUCUCAACCCCCUGCUCCUCCUCUUCUCCCCAUGCCUCACUUGCUGCUGCUUCUCUUCUUCUAUCCCCAAAACUGCUGCUGCUCUCUCUCAAUCUCUCUCUCUCUCUCUCUCNNNNNNNNNNNNNNNNNNNNNNNNNNNNNNNNNNNNNNNNNNNNNNNNNNNNNNNNNNNNNNNNNNNNNNNNNNNNNNNNNNNNNNNNNNNNNNNNNNNNNNNNNNNNNNNNNNNNNNNNNNNNNNNNNNNNNNNNNNNNNNNNNNNNNNNNNNNNNNNNNNNNNNNNNNNNNNNNNNNNNNNNNNNNNNNNNNNNNNNNNNNNNNNNNNNNNNNNNNNNNNNNNNNNNNNNNNNNNNNNNNNNNNNNNNNNNNNNNNNNCACACACACACACACACACACACACACACACACACACACACAAACACACAUACACACACUGUUGUUUAGUUUCAGACUUGUGCCUGUGUGAAAAUUAGUUGAAUCUAUUCCCUAUAUACUGUGGUUGCUGUAGAAACCUGUUCAGUUUGUAGUAUCUUUGAUUUAUAUAUAGUGUUGUUGUGUUAAAUAGUUUUCUCCAUGUCCCAUUAUCUUAGUCUUGUCUUUUUCUUAUAUGUUAUAUAUAUGUGAUCUUACCCUGUUAUUUCCCUUUCGCUGUUGUUGAUCUUCUGUGUUAGAAUCUUAUAUUCUCAAGAAUUGUGAAAAUAUCAAAAAGACAGUGAACAAUAUCUUAACCUUUCCUAUACUUGUUUGUUUCUUCAUUCUCUAUAAUCUUCGGGAACAACUUUGUUUAGUUUAGGUUUAUAUUUCCUUGCAAUCAUCAUCUAAAUUCUGUCACCUAGCUUUAGCCGAGCGUAGUUGUCGUCGCCUAGUCCCUGUGGAGAACACGACAUCCGUAGUUUGGGCGUAAAACCCCCACUAUAAUACAAUUGAUCAUUUUGGCGACGUUGCCGGGGAACUAGCGUCGUGCGGCCGUGUUAGGCUAUAGACUAGGUUUUUCUUGUUUUCAUUUUGUGACAUAUAUUUGUGAUAUAUCUCUAGCCACUAACCCCUGUUCUAGUUAGUAUCUUUUUGUCUUCUUUUCCUUUUUUGCAGGUUGGAUUAUCCUCUUGGAAAUGGCAUUCUAUUCAGAUCAUCAGGCUUAUGCGAGGAACACUACAAACAGCACGGAAAGUAUUCAAGAAUUGAUAAGUAAGAUUUCCCAUCAAUUAGAUGAUUUAGCUCGGCAGCGAGAAGUAGUUUUUGGGGAUAGGAUGUUAUGUGGGGCCGUCACUAUGAAAAGAGAAAGAAGGACUCGGCAACAACAGAGUCCAGAUAGAUUACAUCAAAGUUUGUUUGGAAACCUAAGUUUGUUAGGAGAGUCGGUUUGGUCUACAAUAUGAGAUAUUGAGUUUGUUAGGGACUAGCUAGUAGCUUGAAUAAGGG